rnacentral:rRNA from 1 species
GAAUAUUGGUCAAUGGAUGCAAGUCUGAACCAGCCAUGCCGCGUGCAGGAAGAAGGCCUUCUGGGUUGUAAACUGCUUUUGCCGGGGGAUAAAAUUCCCAUGCGUGGGACAUUGAAGGUACCCGGUGAAUAAGCCACGGCUAACUACGUGCCAGCCGCCGCGGUAAUACGUAGGUGGCGAGCGUUGUCCGGAUUUAUUGGGUUUAAAGGGUGCGUAGGCGGUCUUGUAAGUCAGUUCUGAAAUAUCCCGGCUUAACCGGGAGGGUGGGAUUGAUACUGCAGGACUUGAGUAGAGUCGAGGUAGGCGGAAUUGACGGUGUAGCGGUGAAAUGCUUAGAUAUCGUCAAGAACACCGAUAGUGUAGACAGCUUACUAGACUCAAACUGACGCUGAGGCACGAAAGUGUGGGGAUCAAACAGG